rnacentral:rRNA from 1 species
GCGUAACGCGUAUACAAUCUACCUUUUGCUGAGGAAUAGCCCAGAGAAAUUUGGAUUAAUGCCUCAUAGUAUGUUGACUUCGCAUGGAGAUAACAUUAAAGGUUACGACAAAAGAUGAGUAUGCGUCCUAUUAGUUAGUUGGUGUGGUAACGGCACACCAAGACAGCGAUAGGUAGGGGCCCUGAGAGGGGGAUCCCCCACACUGGUACUGAGACACGGACCAG